CCUACGGGUGGCUGCAGUGAGGAAUAUUGGUCAAUGGACGAGAGCCUGAACCAGCCAAGUAGCGUGAAGGAUGACUGCCCUACGGGUUGUACACUUCUUUUAUAAAGGAAUAAAAUGAGGCACGUGUGCCUUUUUGUAUGUACUUUAUGAAUAAGAAUCGGCUAACUCCGUGCCAGCAGCCGCGGUAAUACGGAGGAUCCGAGCGUUAUCCGGAUUUAUUGGGUUUAAAGGGAGCGUAGAUGGGUUGUUAAGUCAGUUGUGAAAGUUUGCGGCUCAACCGUAAAAUUGCAAUUGAUACUGGCAGUCUUGAGUACAGUUGAGGUAGGCGGAAUUCGUGGUGUAGCGGUGAAAUGCUUAGAUAUCACGAAGAACCCCGAUUGCGAAGGCAGCUUACUAAACUGUGACUGACAUUGAUGCUCGAAAGUGUGGGUAUCAAACAGGAUUAGAUACCCUUGUAGUC
rnacentral:rRNA from 1 species